rnacentral:rRNA from 1 species
UACAGAGGGUGCGAGCGUUGUCCGGAAUCACUGGGCGUAAAGGGCGCGUAGGUGGCGGCAUAAGGCCGUGGUGAAAGUCUGGGGCUCAACCCCAGAUCGGCCGCGGCGACUGUGUCGCUUGGGCACCGUAGAGGCAGAUGGAAUUCCGGGUGUAGCGGUGGAAUGCGUAGAGAUCUGGAAGAACACCGAAGGCGAAGGCAGCGUCCUGGCUCGCAACUGACGCUCAGGAGCGAAAGCGUGGGGAGCGAACAGG